rnacentral:pre_miRNA from 1 species
CCAAUAUUCGACUGGCAUUCCCAUUGUUCCUGUCAAAAGAUUAAAUUCUUGUUAGGCUUGUUUAAAUGAAAGUAUUGAAGUGUCAAGGAAUGAACCUCAUUCUUUUGACAUUUGAAUACCAUCAUUUAAUCCCAGUCCAACAACAAUUUAAUCUUUUGAAUGGAACAUUGGGAAUGCCGGUCGUAUAUUGG